rfam:Macrostomum lignano uti_cns_0017793, whole genome shotgun sequence.
AAAACGGCCCUUUUCAGGGCCACCAAAUCCAAAUGAUCUUGGUCG